ACGGGUAGCCGGCCUGAGAGGGUGGUCGGCCACACUGGGACUGAGACACUGCCCAGACUCCUACGGGAGGCUGCAGUCGAGAAUCCUUCGCAAUGCCCGAAAGGGUGACGAAGCGACGCCGCGUGUGGGAAGAAGGCCUUCGGGUUGUAAACCACUGUCGGGAGUUAAGAAAUGUAAGGGUGUUAAUAGCAUCCUCACUUGACUAAGGCUCCGGAGGAAGCCACGGCUAACUCUGUGCCAGCAGCCGCGGUAAUACAGAGGCGGCAAGCGUUGUUCGGAAUUAUUGGGCGUAAAGAGCACGUAGGCGGCUUUGUAAGUCAGUUGUGAAAGCCUUCCGCUUAACGGAAGAACAGCAUCUGAUACUGCAAGGCUAGAGUGCGGAAGGG
rnacentral:rRNA from 1 species